rnacentral:sRNA from 1 species
UACAAGGCAGGAAGGACAACUUCAGAUUUAUGACUCCUGACUGCCAGAGCCCUAUUUACUUAAAGCUCUUGAAGAAGAUGACAUCAUUGAGCUAAUCCAAAGGACUGAAACUGGAAAUCAAAGGUGGUUUUUACCCCAUUUGAACAAACUGCUCAGUCCUGCAAGAACUUUAGAAGAAAUCUCAGUGGAUCCUGGAGGCAAAAACCGAAACAAGAAUUAGUCUGCUCUGCAUUCUGGAGAUGGUUCAUGGCUGUUACCAACGAGGUCAUGGAGGGACCAAGAAGAAAAACAAGGGAUUCCGGUUUUGUUUGCAGGAAGAUUAUCAAGAUGGAAACAUUUUAACUAGGAAGUUAUAAAGUGCUUGAAGUACAGACACUGGAAUCCUUAGGGUUCCCGUAACAAGCCCACCCCACCCCUGCCCAAAUGACUGUGUUUCAGAUGCCUUGUAAGCUGAAAAAUGCUGCCCAUGUUCAGACAUCAGACUUCAUGUGUUUUCUGUUACUCUAACUGAACGACACAGAUCAGUUAGUAUGUAACGAAGACAUUCCUUUGGUUCAUGGUUCUCAUGGCUGGGGAGUACAAAAGGUGGUAAAACUUGCUGAGGCAUUUUCUGAGAAAUCAUAAUAUGGUAGAGGACCUUACAUGGUGAGACAGAAGAAAGUCAUAGAGUGUGACUCUUUCCUAUAAAGUCACUGUAGAGCCCAGUCCUUAGGACUCAUAAAAUCCUGCCAAGCUCCUGUAACAUGCAUCUGGGUACUGUUAGGGUACGCUGUGUGAAAUUGUGUCUCUGUUCUUUCUUACCUACCUAACAUAUUCUUUGAUUGCCUUUAAUAAAAAAUCCAAUGGCCAAUUAUCUGGGCAGGAAGUGGAAGGUGGGACUUCCUGGAUGCAAAAGGAGGAAGGUCCUGGUCGCCAGGAGACUUGACAGGAGACUGACUUGACAGGGCUUGAAGGUACAGCUAACCACAAGGUUGUAUGGGACUAGGUAAUCAGGUUAACUUAGAUGAACUAAUUGAGAGUCUGUCUAGCUAAGGCCUAAGGCUUUGAAAUAUUAAAAGGUCUCUGUGUGGUUAUUUGCGGAAAAGCUGGCUAAGAUAAAAAUUGCCACCAUAUUAACUUCUAGCAUUAUUUAAUAUAUACAGGGCAUUACAUUUCUAAUACAUAGACUUUAAAGAAACACAUUCGAAAUACAGAAGCACUAGAUUCAGUUUCCAUGUAACUCACUGUAAUCUUCAGCCUGUACCAGUCUAUAGGGUUUCAUUUUGCAUAUAGAUUCCAUGAAUCCCUGAAAGAGGCUCCCUGUGUCUUUGGCUCUGUGCAGACCAGUGGUGACAAACGGGUCUUGGGAACCAGACCCUUGGGAAUGAGACAAUGCAUCUCAAAAUAGUCCAAGGUUUUUGGUUUUGUUGGUGUUACUUUGUUCCCCCUUAAAGCAGAGGAAUUGGUUCUAGAAAAAUGUCCCGUAGAGCCCAAGUUUGUCUGGAUAGUUUAUUAAACUAUUUCCUUUCUCUUUGAGGUUUCUUAUACUGUUAGCAGGAUUUAUUCAUUGGUGUUUUUACUGAUAACACUGAUGACAGAAAUACACUGACUAGGAAUUCACCAAGCCUUUUAUCAAUCCUCAAGCCUUUUCAGAACUCCUCCUGGCUUUAUCUAUAAGGUGUCCCAUCUUCUGCUCUCAUUUGCUUAUUAAUUUCUAAAGCAAUAGCAAGUUAGGGAUCAACCCAAGCUAUGGGUUGUGUUGACAAAGUUUGACCACAAAGGGAUGAAAGCUAUGUAAGAAAGAAGGGACACUGGGGGUUGUCUUAUCUACUACUUUACUUACCCUCCGUAUCUCUCCAGACACCAUGACCAGCGUGUUUUCAUAGGGAACUGGAGGCUGAGGUUACAUUCGUUCCUUAUAGUUGCAAAGUUCAUCAGCAGAGGUAUUGGAACUUGAAUUCAAGACAACCUGCUCCUUCCAGCCUUACUCCUUGUUCCAGAAUAAGAUCCAACCCUUCCAAGAGGUGAAAAGGUGAAGACAGGCUUCCCUUAUCCUGCAAAUAUGUGGUAAUGGCUGUGCAGAGGGAGCUGUGUGGUCACUGGAGGACAUGGUCACAUUUGGAAAAUAUGAGUGUCUGUGUUUCAUUGGGAGUUGAAAAGUCCUCUCAUUGUACUGUGUGUAUUGUAAACUCAGAAAAAGCGGAGAGGAGUCUGGACAGAAAUUGGCUCUGGAAAAGUCACUACCAUUAUGGUUAAAGAUUGAUUAUGCAACUACAGCACACUGGGCAUAAAAAAUAGACCCAACCUUUGUCCUCAGGAAUCUAGAAUGAACACACAAGAUUUAUGGUCAGAACCCUUGAUGGCUUGCUGUCAGUGGCUGUUUUAGAAGCAUUCAUGUGCCAGAAUUCUAGCAAGCAGGGCUGAAAAAUGUGGCCCUCAAGGAA